AGCUCAGUAGGUAGAGCAACGGAUUGAAAAUCCGUGUGUCCCCAGUUCGAUCCUGGG
rnacentral:tRNA from 1 species